CUUUUAUCAAUUGCUGCAAGUAUCUUCUUUCAGUGUGUGGCUUCCUUUUUCACUCCGUUUGUUGUUUUUUUAAUCGAAGUAUAAGUUCUUAAUUUUAACGCAUUUGAACUGUCAUUUUCCACCACGGCCCGAGUCGCGGAGCCCGCCUUCCUGGCCAGAGCGCUGCGUGGUCACAGCUGGGGUCUGGGGAGCAGAGGCUGCGGGCGCUCCCGGGGGUUGGGGGGGAGAGCUGGGCGAUUUCGGCGGGGGGAGGUGCCGCUCGAGGGGCCGCCAGGCUGCGCGAGGAAGGAGGGCCUGGAGGCCGCGGGGGUCCUCGGCGCAGACUGGAGCCGCAGGCACCGCGCGCAGCCCCCGUCCGCCUCGCCGAGGCCCCGCGGGCCCAGGAGCGCGAGGUCUGGCGCCCAGGACCAGAGGGGGUCGGCGGGAGCAGGCGCCGCCUCCAAAGGACGCCCUCGCCCUCCCGCAGGCGCUGGCUCCAGACCCUGACCAGCCAGCUGGGAGCUGAGCCGGGGUAGGGCCGGGCAGCCCAGAGGAUCAGAACGGGGUUUUCUCCCGGGGUUGGGGGUUCUUUGGCCAGCGCCGCCCUCCCCCGCCGGGGCCGCCCACCCGCAAGCCCCGCCCCGAAGGCUGGAGCUUCCCUGGGGAUGGGCGAAGCCGAGGCCACGCCCUGAAGGCGGGAGCGGCUUUGGGGCGGGACCUGGCAGCCCUCAGGGCUCCAGCGCCAAGUUCAGAGCCACGCGCUGCUCUUGGCCGGGAGGAGGCUGUGCUGCCCCAGCACCUCUUGCUCCACAUCUCCAGAGAGCCCAGUGAAGAAAACACCAAGGUCACCCUCUUUAUAGAUCAGAAAACAGAGGCCUGGAGAGGACCCACACCUUGCCCAAGGUCACAGGUUGGAGAGAGCAGAGCUGACCCUGGAGCCCGUGCACUUAACAUCUAUGUGGAUGGAAGACUCCAAGGUUACCUGAGACAACCUGGUUAAGGUAUAGACAGGUAAUGUGGGAGAAUGUGGCCAGUGGUUCCUAGAUGAGUGAAUGAUCAGUGUGCGGUCAGGGUCCAGAGGAUGGGUGAUAAACUGAGAACCACAAGCUCUUAACACCAUGGGGUAUGUGAGGCUUCAUCUCCCAGGAUGCAGCACCUGCUGAGUUGGGCAAUAGGGGAUCCUGGUUGAUGGCCCAGCUGGGUUGGGAGCCUUGGGGAGAUGUGCUCUGUGUUGGUGGGGAAGGCCAGGCAUGGUUAGAUCCCCUGUAGAAAUUGGGGAGCUCAGUUUCAGAAAGUUUCAAAGAUCAUCACUUGAUUUCUGUGAUUCACGUGAUCUGAGGGCUCUGAAAGUGGUGGGUUAGUCCUGGAAUGAAAUCUGCUUUUUUUCAAGUAGGAAAGACAUGGGGUGGCCAUGAGAGACAUCUGUGUGGCUCAGAAAGAUGUCUUGCUGAGGUCAGAGGGACAAGAGCCAAGGAGGACAAGAGGAGCCCUUCCCAGGACACUCACAAUGACAGAGUGAC
rnacentral:lncRNA from 1 species